UGUGUCAUUUUGGUCUCUUGUGGACAGUUGUCUCAUUGGCAAUAAUACCACAUUUUCUUUUUUAUACAUACAUUACAUCUGUGAUAUUUUGUUUAAGUCCAAGACGCAAAUGCAAGUUGUGCUUCCAGUUGUAAAUACCAAUGGACGGCCAGACGCUGUAGAUAAAAUUGGCAGUCAGAUAUGUAUGGUCCUGUGACUGAAGAUGUCACAGUUGUGCCAGUGAGCGUACCAUAAAAUUCUCUGAAAAUGAAGGAUCUGUUAAAAUUACUAGUAAAACAUCUAUCAAUUAUGUAGUUUUGACUGCCUGCUUUACAUUGGUAAAUAUUUUGGCAUACAUCAGUUUGUAGGUUUUUAGAAUUAUGUUGAUUUCAACAUGUUAAAUUCAUCACACCAUGUCAGUAAAAUCUAUCAUGAACAGAUGUGACAAUAUUCUUGACAUGGUAAAAGAGAGAAUGGCUGACAGUAAAAGGCUAUGAUUUCUACUUCGACAUCCUAAAUGUUAUGAUUUUGAAAUUCUAUUAAUUCCUCCAUUUUGUUAUUUAUUCUAUUUUAUCUUCUUACCAUCUGAGAUGCAAGCACAGACAAAAGACCAUGAGAACACUGACCAAUCACAGGAUAUGCAGAAAGGUGAAAUCGAGCUAAGUGAAAUUGUGAUUUAAAGAGGCGGAUUUAUGGAGAGACGUUGAUAUAUGUUUGGAAUAAUAUUCUGAUCGGACGUUUGUUAAUAUUCUGUUCUCUUCCGUUUAACUUGUAUUAUAUAUCUAAGAUAUCUGAAAAUGUUUCUGCUACACAAAUUCUUAAUAAAGGUUUUAAUUAAAU
rnacentral:lncRNA from 1 species